AGCCCAACAGCUAGCUUCACCUAAAAAAACACCCCGCAAACAUUACCACCCCUACAGAUACUUUCAACCUCUUAAACAAACCAUUUUCCCCCUUUAGUAUGGGAGACAGAAAAAGAACCAUGAAAGCGACAGAAAAAGUACCGCAAGGGAACGCUGAAAGAGAAAUGAAACAACUCAGUAAAGCAAAAAACAGCAAAGAUCCCCCCUUGUACCUUUUGCAUCAUGAUUUAACUAGCCCACCCCAAGCAAAGAGCCCUUUAGUUUGAGCACCCGAAACUAAGUGAGCUACUCCAAGACAGCCUAUUAAGAGGGCACACCCGUCUCUGUGGCAAAAGAGUGGGAGGAUCUUUGAGUAGAGGUGACAGACCUACCGAACUUAGUAAUAGCUGGUUGCCUGAGAAAUGAAUAGAAGUUCAGCCUCUUAGAUUCUUGUCUUCCCCCUCCGGCCCCAGCCCAAGACAAUAAGCAGAAGCUAAAAGCGUUAGUCAAAGGGGGUUCAGCCCCUUUGACAAAAGAUACAACUUUUCUAGCUGGGUAAAGAUCAUG
rnacentral:rRNA from 1 species